GUAGGUGGCAAGCGUUGUCCGGAAUUAUUGGGCGUAAAGCGCGCGCAGGCGGGUUCUUUAAGUCUGAUGUGAAAGCCCACGGGCUCAACCGUGGGGGGUCAUUGGAAACUGGAGAACUUGAGUACAGAAGAGGAAAGCGGAAUUCCACGUGUAGCGGUGAAAUGCGUAGAGAUGUGGAGGAACACCAGUGGCGAAGGCGGCUUUCCGGUCUGUAACUGACGCUGAGGCGCGAAAGCGUGGGGAGCAAACAGGAUUAGAUACCCUGGUAGUCCACGCCGUAAACGAUGAGUGCUAAGUGUUAGGGGGUUUCCGCCCCUUAGUGCUGCAGCUAACGCAUUAAGCACUCCGCCUGGGGAGUACGGCCGCAAAGGCUG
rnacentral:rRNA from 1 species